rnacentral:rRNA from 1 species
AAAAGGAAAGAGUUCAGCACUAAGUCACUUUGUCUUUAUGGCAAAUGUGAGAUGCAGUGUAUGGAGUGUUCAAUUUCUAGUAUGAGAAAUUAACGAUUUAAGUCCUUCUUAAAUGAGGCCAUUUACCCAUAGAGGGUGCCAGGCCCGUAUAACGUUAAUGAUUACUAGAGAACAUUUCCAAAGAGUCGUGUUGCUUGAUAGUGCAGCACUAAGUGGGUGGUAAACUCCAUCUAAAACUAAAUAUAACCAUGAGACCGAUAGUAAACAAGUACCGUGAGGGAAAGUUGAAAAGAACUCUGAAUAGAGAGUUAAAAAGUACGUGAAACUGCUUAGAGGUUAAGCCCGAUGAACCUGAAUAUCCAUUAUGGAAAAUUCAUCGUUACGAUUGCUAUAUGAAUAAUAUAGUGAGAAUGGCGUGCAUUUUUUCCAUAUAAGGACAUUGUAAUCUAUUAACAUACACAAUUUAUCAUAAGAUCGAUGGCGAAAGUUUAUUCAAAUUAGUAUGCUUGCGUAUUAACAUAGAAUAAGUGCUGUCGAUUGGAUAAAGUGUUGAUAGAUCUAUUAUAUAUAGCGCUUGAAUACUUGUAUUCUAUAAUGGCACAUUAAUCUUGAUUUUUGUGUUUAUUAUAUGC